CAGCAGCCGCGGUAAUACGUAGGUGGCAAGCGUUGUCCGGAAUUAUUGGGCGUAAAGGGCUCGCAGGCGGUUUCUUAAGUCUGAUGUGAAAGCCCCCGGCUCAACCGGGGAGGGUCAUUGGAGACUGGGAAACUUGAGUGCAGAAGAGGAGAGUGGAAUUCCACGUAUAGCGGUGAAAUGCGUAGAGAUGUGGAGGGACACCAGUGGCGAAGGCGACUCUCUGGUCUGUAACUGACGCUGAGGAGCGAAAGCGUGGGGAGCGAACAGGAUUAGAUACCCGCGUAGUCCCUGUCUCUUAUAC
rnacentral:rRNA from 1 species